rnacentral:rRNA from 1 species
AUGGCGGAGGAACCGUCUAUCAAGCGUCACCGUGGUGAGACAUCCGACCAGACCAACAAGGUCAACGACAUUCAGGUCCCCGGUUUGAAGCACAACUACACCACUAAGCUCAAAGGGGUUGAUCUCCAUAGCAAGGAGACGCUGGAGGUUGUCUAUACUAGCAAUCUAGACGAAGCUGGCGAGAUGAUCAGGAGGCUCAGGAUGAGGGCCGAAGGCUUGUAUCUUUGGUUCAUUGAUGUUGAUGUGGAGUUUACCUAG